AGGGGGUUGAGUUAAAAAAAACUAAUAAUCUUCAAAAUUUUCUAUAAAAAAAAUUCUUUACCCCCUU
rnacentral:tRNA from 1 species